rnacentral:rRNA from 1 species
GACGAACGCUGGCGGCGUGCCUAAUACAUGCAAGUAGAACGCUGAAGAGAGGAGCUUGCUCUUCUUGGAUGAGUUGCGAACGGGUGAGUAACGCGUAGGUAACCUGCCUUGUAGCGGGGGAUAACUAUUGGAAACGAUAGCUAAUACCGCAUAACAAUGGAUGACACAUGUCAUUUAUUUGAAAGGGGCAAUUGCUCCACUACAAGAUGGACCUGCGUUGUAUUAGCUAGUAGGUGAGGUAAUGGCUCACCUAGGCGACGAUACAUAGCCGACCUGAGAGGGUGAUCGGCCACACUGGGACUGAGACACGGCCCAGACUCCUACGGGAGGCAGCAGUAGGGAAUCUUCGGCAAUGGGGGCAACCCUGACCGAGCAACGCCGCGUGAGUGAAGAAGGGUGUCGGAUCGUAAAGUUCUGUUGUAAGUCAAGAACGGGUGUGAGAGUGGAAAGUUCACACUGUGACGGUAGCUUACCAGAAAGGGACGGCCAACUACGUG